UACGUAGGGUGCAAGCGUUGUCCGGAAUUAUUGGGCGUAAAGAGCUCGUAGGCGGUCUGUCGCGUCGGCUGUGAAAACCCGGAGCUCAACUCCGGGUCUGCAGUCGAUACGGGCGGACUUGAGUUCGGCAGGGGAGACUGGAAUUCCUGGUGUAGCGGUGAAAUGCGCAGAUAUCAGGAGGAACACCGGUGGCGAAGGCGGGUCUCUGGGCCGAUACUGACGCUGAGGAGCGAAAGCGUGGGGAGCGAACAGG
rnacentral:rRNA from 1 species